rnacentral:rRNA from 1 species
GCGGAGCGUUCCGUAAGCCUGCGAAGGGUGUCCGUGAGGCCGCCUGGAGGUAUCGGAAGUGAGAAUGCUGACAUGAGUAGCGACAAAGAGUGUGAGAAACACUCUCGCCGAAAGUCCAAGGGUUCCUGCGCAAGGUUAAUCCACGCAGGGUGAGCCGGCCCCUAAGGCGAGGCCGAAAGGCGUAGUCGAUGGGAACCACGUUAAUAAUCGUGGGCCAGCGGGUGGUGACGGAUGGGAAAGCGUGUACGUCCUUAUCGGAUUGGACGUGCUGUGGACCCGUUCCAGGAAAUAGCCCCCGCGUUAGACCGUACCCCAAACCGACACAGGUGGACAGGUAGAGUAUACCCAGGCGCUUGAGAGAAUGGUGUUGAAGGAACUCGGCAAAUUGCCCUCGUAACUUCGGAAGAAGAGGGCCCCGUUCAUGCGCAAGCGUGGGCGGGGGGCACAGACCAGGGGGUAGCGACUGUUUACUAAAAACACAGGGCUCUGCGAAGCCACACAAGGCGACGUAUAGGGUCUGACGCCUGCCCGGUGCCGGAAGGUUAAGAGGAGGGGUGCAAGCUCUGAAUUGAAGCCCCGGUAAACGGCGGCCGUAACAUAACGGUCCUAAGGUAGCGAAAUUCCUUGUCGGGUAAGUUCCGACCUGCACGAAGGCGUAACGACUUCCCCGCUGUCUCCAACACCAACUCAGCGAAAUUGAACUCUCCGUGAAGAUGCGGAGUUCCCGCGGUCAGACGGAAAGACCCCGUGCACCUUUACUACAGCUUUGCAGUGGUGCUAGGGAUCUCAUGUGUAGGAUAGGUGGGAGGCUUGGAAACCGGGGCGCCAGCUCUGGUGGAGCCAACCUUGAAAUACCACCCUUGAGAUCUCUGGCAUCUAACCGCGACCCGUUAUCCGGGUCCGGGACCCUGCAUGGCGGGUAGUUUGACUGGGGCGGUCGCCUCCCAAAGUGUAACGGAGGCGCGCGAUGGUGGGCUCAGAGCGGUCGGAAAUCGCUCGUCGAGUGCAAUGGCAUAAGCCCGCCUGACUGCAAGACUGACAAGUCGAGCAGAGACGAAAGUCGGCCAUAGUGAUCCGGUGGUUCCAUGUGGACGGGCCAUCGCUCAACGGAUAAAAGGUACGCCGGGGAUAACAGGCUGAUGACUCCCAAGAGUCCAUAUCGACGGAGUCGUUUGGCACCUCGAUGUCGGCUCAUCACAUCCUGGGGCUGGAGCAGGUCCCAAGGGUUCGGCUGUUCGCCGAUUAAAGUGGUACGUGAGCUGGGUUUAGAACGUCGUGAGACAGUUCGGUCCCUAUCUGCCGUGGGUGUAGGAGUUUUGCGAGGAUCUGUCCCUAGUACGAGAGGACCGGGAUGGACAUACCUCUGGUGCGCCGGUUGUCACGCCAGUGGCAUGGCCGGGUAGCUAAGUAUGGACGGGAUAACCGCUGAAAGCAUCUAAGCGGGAAACCCACCUCUAAACAAGAGCUCCCUUGAGAGCCGUGAUAGACCAUCACGUCGAUAGGAGGCGUGUGGAAGGGCGGCAACGCCUGAAGCUAAGCCUUACUAAUCGCUCGAUCGGCUUGAUCUC